AUGGCCGAGGUGAAGUCGGGCGAGCGGGCGGCGGCGGUGCUGUCGGAGGCUGCGCAGUGUGAGCUGCUCGACCUGUGCGAGGAUCAGUUCGCGCAGCUGGAGAAGCUUCAGAAUGAGGUCAUACUGUGCGAACCGGAUUUCGGUGAGAAUCCACAGGAGCAGUCAAUAAAUCGACUGAUAGCCACAGAAGCUGAGCUGAAGCAGUGGCUGGCAGUGGAGCCAAAAUGUAAGUCCUCCAUAAACACUGUGAUGGCAGAUGUAAUCAUAGCAUAAGUGCUAACAUAACUGAAGUAUUAAUAUCACAAAUCACUACCACACUUGUAUGGCAGUUAAACUUGGUGCAUCACUGUUAAAUCAUGCAAUCCGAUUUCAGCUCAGAUGUUGUGUCCUCAUCAGGUUGUGAUUCUCGACUUUCUAAUCAAAUUUUCUGCUGUAUCUAAUGUCUAACACAACAAAAUUUGCAUUUUUUAUAAUAUACUAACUUAUUUUGUGCCGUUCAGUGCUGGCAGCAAAUUCAGAAGUUUUACUUCAAGCUGGAAAAGAGGAGGUAUGUUGACGUGUAAACUGCAACAUCAAAGAAUAUCUCACUAAAGACCCUUGAUUCAAUGCAUCGCUGGAGUUAUACAAUUGGUUUU
rnacentral:lncRNA from 1 species